AAUAGGACCGAGGCUUUCCCCGUCCAAUUGGAGCUGUGCAGCUACAUCAUCAUUAGCGUCUACGCUGACCAAUCAGCAGCUCCAUCCUGACCAGUCAGACAGGGCCUUUUGGACCAAUCAAACUGCGAGGACUUGGUGCUUAUUUGCAUGAAGAAGGACCAACCAGGGGCCAGGGGCGGGGGACCUCUGUCUGUACCAGGCCGCUCCGCGCUGGCUGGAACGCGUUUUCCUCUCCGCAGAAGACUCCUUUUCGCUGGCUGGAGCCGAAACCCCAAGGAUGUCCCCCUGGUGCAGAGCAGAGCUGCCCAGCUGGAGAAGUGGCCUGGCCCCAGGGCCUUCCAGCAGCAGUGCUGUGUCACAGUCGAGCUGUUCCACAGCGUGCUGUGUCACAGAGGAGCUGUUUGCACUGAAUAAAAGUCCCUUCAUCCCACCCCAAAUUAGGGAUUCCUUUCGGUGUCGAAUUGAUGCCAGCAACCUUCCCACUGACAGUGCUUAAUAACUAUUUGAACAAAAAUUUCUGACUUCUGUGUUUAAGUUUUCAAGAGUUUUUUUCUGCGUUAAAAUAUUUUCCAUCUUUUUUAACGUUACUAGUGUGAUUAGUUUUUAGUCUUUAAUACCAACACACACCCACACAAUGAACUAUAUAUAAGUAACCUUUUGAAAAAGAGUGAAGCAUAUCCACUUAUGUCAAUAUAGAACAAUCUUGAUAUUUUAAGGGGAAAAAAAUCCAUGUGCAAAUAGUUAAUUCAGCAUUCAUGUAUAUUGUGUGUGGGUGUGUUGUGUCUUAGUCUGCUCAGGCUGCUAUAACAAAGUACCACGGACUAGGUGGCUAUUAGCAGCAGAAAUUUAUUGCUCAGUUGUGGAGGCUGGAAGUCCAAGAUCAUGGUUGGGUGAGAGCCCUCUUCCAGGUUGCAGACUUUUCCUCUAACUUCACAUGGUGGAAGGGGCUAGGUAUCUCUUGGCAACAAUUGGACAUGGUUACUAAAUCGAGCCAACAGUAUCCUCUGGGCCUUUCUUACAUGUUAUAGUUUAGCCUGGUCUCUCCUCACUUAGACUGCUAUAGAUUUCUUAUGUCCCCUUUCUUCCCUCUCCUGAGUAAAUGAGUGUACAUGUAUUACCAUUUCAUUUCACCUGGUUGUUUUAGCUUACCUGGACAUUCUGAGAACUUUUUGAAUUCUACCUUUCUUACUCAACAUGUUAUAUGAUGCAGUUGUGGGCAUUUGCACCUGUGAUAGAUGGCCCAGAUGCAGUAAAUGGAAGGGAGUUUCUGGCAAGAGCGGAAUGUACAAAAGCCUGGAACCUUAAUCUUCAGAUAAAAUUCCUCUAUGUCUCCAUAAUUCCUGAGAGGAAGAGUAAAGGACAACUGAAAAGAAAAGCUACUAUUGGUAGAAUAAUACUUGAGUUCCAGAGACUUCUGAACAAAUAAGAUAAGCCAGUAUUUAAACUAAUUCAAGAAACUUUUUGCAUUGGAAUCCCAUCAUGAAAAUAAAGAAGCCAAAGGAGUACUGGAAAUAUUUCUGUUGAAGGAAUAACAACAGCUUGCUGUCAAUAAAAAGAUUGCAACCCA